rnacentral:rRNA from 1 species
UGAGGAAUAUUGCGCAAUGGGCGAAAGCCUGACGCAGCAACGCCGCGUGGGUGAUGAAGGCCUUCGGGUCGUAGAACCCUUUUCCAGAGGAAGAGCAAGGACGGUACUCUGGGAAUAAGCCACGGCUAACUACGUGCCAGCAGCCGCGGUAAUACGUAGGUGGCGAGCGUUAUCCGGAUUUACUGGGCGUAAAGCGCGUGCAGGCGGCUUCGCAAGUCGGACGUUAAAUCUCUCGGCUCAACUGAGAGGUGUCGUUCGAAACUGCGAGGCUUGAGGUUGGGAGAGGGAAGCGGAAUUCCCGGGUGUAGUGGUGGAAUGCGUAGAUAUCGGGAGGAACACCUGUGGCGAAAGCGGCUUCCUGGCCCACACCUGACGCUAAGACGCGAAAGCGUGGGGAGC